CUGCCUGAUGGAGGGGGAUAACUACUGGAAACGGUAGCUAAUACCGCAUAAUGUCGCAAGACCAAAGAGGGGGACCUUCGGGCCUCUUGCCAUCGGAUGUGCCCAGAUGGGAUUAGCUUGUUGGUGGGGUAACGGCUCACCAAGGCGACGAUCCCUAGCUGGUCUGAGAGGAUGACCAGCCACACUGGAACUGAGACACGGUCCAGACUCCUACGGGAGGCAGCAGUGGGGAAUAUUGCACAAUGGGCGCAAGCCUGAUGCAGCCAUGCCGCGUGUAUGAAGAAGGCCUUCGGGUUGUAAAGUACUUUCAGCGGGGAGGAAGGGAGUAAAGUUAAUACCUUUGCUCAUUGACGUUACCCGCAGAAGAAGCACCGGCUAACUCCGUGCCAGCAGCCGCGGUAAUACGGAGGGUGCAAGCGUUAAUCGGAAUUACUGGGCGUAAAGCGCACGCAGGCGGUUUGUUAAGUCAGAUGUGAAACCCCCGGGCUCAACCUGGGAACUGCAUCUGAUACUGGCAAGCUUGAGUCUCGUAGAGGGGGGUAGAAUUCCAGGUGUAGCGGUGAAAUGCGUAGAGAUCUGGAGGAAUACCGGUGGCGAAGGCGGCCCCCUGGACGAAGACUGACGCUCGGGUGCGAAAGCGUGGGGAGCAAACAGGAUUAGAUACCCUGGUAGUCCACGCCGUAAACGAUGUCGACUUGGAGGUUGUGCCCUUGAGGCGUGGCUUCCGGAGCUAACGCGUUAAGUCGACCGCCUGGGGAGUACGGCCGCAAGGUUAAAACUCAAAUGAAUUGACGGGGGCCCGCACAAGCGGUGGAGCAUGUGGUUUAAUUCGAUGCAACGCGAAGAACCUUACCUGGUCUUGACAUCCACGGAAGUUUUCAGAGAUGAGAAUGUGCCUUCGGGAACCGUGAGACAGGUGCUGCAUGGCUGUCGUCAGCUCGUGUUGUGAAAUGUUGGGUUAAGUCCCGCAACGAGCGCAACCCUUAUCCUUUGUUGCCAGCGGUCCGGCCGGGAACUCAAAGGAGACUGCCAGUGAUAAACUGGAGGAAGGUGGGGAUGACGUCAAGUCAUCAUGGCCCUUACGACCAGGGCUACACACGUGCUACAAUGGCGCAUACAAAGAGAAGCGACCUCGCGAGAGCAAGCGGACCUCAUAAAGUGCGUCGUAGUCCGGAGUGGAGUCUGCAACUCGACUCCAUGAAGUCGGAAUCGCUAGUAAUCGUGGAUCAGAAUGCCACGGUGAAUACGUUCCCGGGCCUUGUACACACCGCCCGUCACACCAUGGGAGUGGGUUGCAAAAGAAGUAGGUAGCUUAACCUUCGGGAGGGCGCUUACCACUUUGUGAUUCAUGACUGGGGUGAAGUCGUAACAAGGUAACCGUAGGGGAACCUGCGGUUG
rnacentral:rRNA from 1 species